rnacentral:rRNA from 1 species
UACGUAGGGUGCGAGCGUUGUCCGGAGUUACUGGGCGUAAAGGGCACGCAGGCGGUCAUGUAAGUCUGUUCUGACAGCUCCUGGCUCAACCGGGAGAGGCGAACGGAAACUGUAUGGCUUGAGGACUUCAGAGGGACACGGAAUUCCGGGUGGAGUGGUGAAAUGCGUAGAUAUCAGGAGGAACACCGGUGGCGAAGGCGGCUUUCUGGACAGUUACCGACGCUGAGGCACGAAAGCUAGGGGAGCAAACAGG